UACGUAGGGGGCUAGCGUUGUCCGGAAUCAUUGGGCGUAAAGAGCGCGUAGGCGGCCAGAUAAGUCCGGUGUGAAAGUCACAGGCUCAACCUGUGAAUGCCGCUGGAAACUGUCUGGCUAGAGUCCGGAAGGGGCGAGUGGAAUUCCUGGUGUGGCGGUGAAAUGCGCAGAUAUCAGGAAGAACACCGGUGGCGAAAGCGCUCUGCUAGGCCGCAACUGACACUGAGGGACGAAAGCUAGGGGAGCGAACAGG
rnacentral:rRNA from 1 species